rnacentral:rRNA from 1 species
GACGAACGCUGGCGGCGUGCUUAACGCAUGCAAGUCGAGCGAGGCCCACCUUUCGGGGUGGUGUCCUAGCGGCGAACGGGUGAGUAACACGUGGGCAACCUGCCCCCGGCUCGGGGAUAACCCCAAGAAAUUGGGGCUAAUACCGGAUACGACCGCUGACCGCAUGGUCUGGUGGUGGAAAGAUUUAUCGGCUGGGGAUGGGCCCGCGGCCUAUCAGCUUGUUGGUGGGGUAGUGGCCUACCAAGGCGACGACGGGUAGCCGGCCUGAGAGGGUGACCGGCCACACUGGGACUGAGACACGGGCCAGACGCCUACGGGAGGCAGCAGUGGGGAAUAUUGCGCAAUGGGCGAAAGCCUGACGCAGCGACGCCGCGUGGGGGAUGACGGCCUUCGGGUUGUAAACCUCUUUCAGCAGGGACGAAGCCCGCAAGGGUGACGGUACCUGCAGAAGAAGCACCGGCCAACUACGUGCCAGCAGCCGCCGUAACAC